ensembl:lncRNA
GUGGAUGCGUUAGAGUAGGGUGGAUGUGGAGCUGUUAGAGUAGGGUGGAGAUGGAUGCGUUAGAGUAGGGUGGAGGUGGAGCUGUUAGAGUAGGGUGGAGGUGGAGCUGUUAGAGUAGGGUGGAGGUGGAUGCGUUAGAGUAGGGUGGAAGGAGGUGGAGCGACCGGUUUGAUCCGCCUCAGGAUCGAGGGCCUGAUGGAGAUGUUCUGUAGAACCGGGCUGGUACCUCACUGGUGUAGGUGGAGAACGUUACUGGUGCCAGUACUGGUACUGGUUUGAGUGUAGACCAGUACCUCACUGGUGUAGGUGGAGAACGUUACUGGUACCAGUACUGGUACUGGUUUGAGUGUAGACCAGUACCUCACUGGUGUAGG